rnacentral:lncRNA from 12 species
UUCUUGAAUGCCAGGAGGAGGUCUGAUAUAUGCAUUACCAGAAAAUAUCAGCCUUUGAACAAGAUGAGAACUCACCUCUUUACAUUUUGCCAGCUUGCAACAUAUUCGGGAGCUUCUUAUCAGAACUCAAUCUCCGAUGAACAGAUCAAUGCAAAGUAUCAUCUUCAAAAGCAGUUCCAUCCUGCCUCAUUUCCACAUGCUUCCCUCAUUUUAAAUUAA